rnacentral:rRNA from 1 species
CAGUCGCCCGGGAAAACAGAGGGUGCGAGCGUUAAUCGGAUUUACUGGGCGUAAAGCGUGCGUAGGCGGCUUCUUAAGUCGGAUGUGAAAUCCCUGAGCUUAACUUAGGAAUUGCAUUCGAUACUGGGAAGCUAGAGUAUGGGAGAGGAUGGUAGAAUUCCAGGUGUAGCGGUGAAAUGCGUAGAGAUCUGGAGGAAUACCGAUGGCGAAGGCAGCCAUCUGGCCUAAUACUGACGCUGAGGCACGAAAGUGUGGGGAUCAAACAGGAUUAGAUACCCGAGUAGUCCCUGUCUCUUAUACA